ensembl:lncRNA
CUUGAAAGUACGCUUGCAGAUGUAUAGGUACGGUGAAGCCCACACUCCUUGCUUAGAGCAGGGGGUUGGACCCUCACCUUGAACACACUGUUGAUGAAAUUUGCUGCUGAUGAGGGACAGAACCCACAGACUCUGUCGAAGACUGACUGUUCCUGUGGCUUUGCUUGCCCGGUGUGGAGGUGAAGGGAGUGUGAGCUGCAUCUUAUGGAAAGCAUGCACAUGCACAUUGGGCGCCUCUUGCAGCCAUGUGUUUUCUUGCAGAACAACAAUGAGAUGAAGAUGGGGCAUUAAGCCCUUGGAGAACAUUGACACAUUGCAUGGACAACAAGAUGACCUUGGUAUGGACUCAAUCCUGUUUACACUGUACUUAGAGUGCAUCACUAUUUGAAGGCCUCUUCGUAGACUUGAAGUAAAUUUUGCCCUUUGGUGUUUGCCGAACUGGGGAAACUCAGCAUCUUUCAGUUCUGAGCCUUGGAAUGGAGCUAAAACAGUUGGAAAAUGAUACUAAUAACAAAUGAUCCAGGAGCUCGUGGUACUUAAGAUUGCAGUAAAAGCAACGAAUGAGUGUGACUCCUUC